rnacentral:rRNA from 1 species
UCGAGGAUCUUCGGCAAUGAGCGCAAGCUUGACCGAGCGACGCCGCGUGUGCGAUGAAGGCCUUCGGGUUGUAAAGCACUGUCGAGGGGGAGAAAAGGGUUAAACUUUGAUCUAUCCCUGGAGGAAGCACGGGCUAAGUUCGUGCCAGCAGCCGCGGUAAGACGAACCGUGCGAACGUUGUUCGGAAUCACUGGGCUUAAAGGGCGCGUAGGCGGGCUACCAAGUCUGUGGUGAAAUCCUCCAGCUCAACUGGAGAACGGCCGCGGAUACUGGUGGUCUCGAGGGAGAUAGGGGCAAGCGGAACUGUGCGUGGAGCGGUGAAAUGCGUUGAUAUGCACAGGAACUCCGGUGGCGAAGGCGGCUUGCUGGAUCUCUUCUGACGCUGAGGCGCGAAAGCUAGGGGAGCGAACG